AAGUCGUAACAAGGUUUCCGUAGGUGAACCUGCGGAAGGAUCAUUAAUGAGAAGCGGCCCCGCGGCCGUGGGGGCUUCGGCCCCCGACUCACACCCUUUGUUUAUCCACUCUUGUUGCUUUGGCGGGCCUUGGGGUCAUAUCCAUGCCGGGAGAAAGUCCUCCUCCGGGGGGGCCCUCCAGGCGCGUGCCCGUCAAAGGCCCAUUUUAAUUCUGCUUCAAGCAUGUCGUCUGAGUAAAAACACAAUAAACAAAA
rnacentral:misc_RNA from 1 species